CUUUCCCUGCUCUGCUUUCGGAGAGGGAGCGUCUUCUCCUCUCCCCUGCCCAGGCCUGGCUAGGCCGGGUGGGGGAGGGGAGCAAGGUGGGCCUGGCUGAGCAAGAGAGAAGGUGCCGAGUUGGAGCUGCUUGUGAGAGCUGCAGUGCCUGCGAUCGCCUGUGCCUGACCUUGGUGGUGGGAGAUAAAGCUUUUAACUCUUUCUAAGGCAGAAGAGAGUUAUCCCUGGACGCUGUAUUCUCAUAGUUGGUGGUUUUAGAAGAGAGAGGACAGCCUGGGACCGAGAGGGUAAUGUGAGAUGAAAAGAAGCCCCUUCGAUGGCCGGAAUGAAGAGGAGUGGCUUAUGAA